rnacentral:rRNA from 1 species
CCCUUAGAUGUUCUGGGCCGCACGCGUGCUACACUGAGUGGAUCAGCGGGUCAGGUUGCGCGAAAGUGUUUCCUAAUCUUUAAAUCCGCUCGUGAUGGGGAUUGACGGUUGCAAUUUUCCGUCAUGAACGAGGAAUACCUUGUAAGCGCGGGUCAUCAUCCCGCGCUGAAUACGUCCCUGCCCUUUGUACACACCGCCCGUCGCUCCUACCGAUUGAAUGAUCCGAUGAAUAUCAUGGAUUGAGGAUGCAAGCAGGUUCGCCUGUCUUCAUCUUCGAGAAGUGAAGUAAAUCUUAUCAUUUAGAGGAGGGAGAAGUCGUAACA